rnacentral:rRNA from 1 species
AGAGUUUGAUCCUGGCUCAGAGCGAACGCUGGCGGCAGGCCUAACACAUGCAAGUCGAGCGCCCCGCAAGGGGAGCGGCAGACGGGAGAGUAACACGUGGGAACGUACCCUUCAGUUCGGAACAACCCAGGGAAACUUGGGCUAAUACCGGAUACGUCCGUAAGGAGAAAGAUUUAUCGCUGAAGGAUCGGCCCGCGUCUGAUUAGCUUGUUGGUGAGGUAACGGCUCACCAAGGCUACGAUCAGUAGCUGGUCUGAGAGGAUGAUCAGCCUCACUGGGACUGAGACACGGCCCAGACUCCUACGGGAGGCAGCAGUGGGGAAUAUUGGACAAUGGGCGCAAGCCUGAUCCAGCCAUGCCGCGUGGAUGAUGAAGGCCCUAGGGUUGUAAA